rnacentral:tRNA from 1 species
UGUGAUGUCUAGAUUUAUUAAUUUUUAGGCCAUAAUCCUGUCACCUUAGGUCGAUCGGUAUCUCAGUUUGAUAAUCACUAACUAAGUAAUUAGUUUUUAAGAUUAUUGGAAUCAGUUCCUAAACUUUGUCUAGGUCACACCCAACAAGGGUACUCCUGGGCCAUUAGCUCAGGUGGUUAGAGCGCACCCCUGAUAAGGGUGAGGUCCCUGGUUCAAGUCCAGGAUGGCCCAUUCGGUGUUGGGGGUAUAGCUCAGUUGGUAGAGCGCCUGCUUUGCAAGCAGGAUGUCAGCGGUUCGAGUCCGCUUACCUCCACUGAACACCACCUGAUAGCGAAUGCUUAAGGAUACUUUUCUUGUUAUGUGAUCUAGAAUUUGUUCUCUUUGAAUGAACCUAGCCUCCUGUCAUUCCUUCUUGAAAAACUUUUUUCUAGUUUAGGUUGAUAAGAUGCUGGGCUCUCUGCAAUAAAUAUUGCAGAGAUCUUCAGUAGAACCUUGACAACUGCAUAGGUGAGUCUGGAAAAAAUAAAGCAUCUCAUGGAUGCAUUAUUUUUUUGAGCCAUAUAUUUAGUAAAUUCUGGAUAAUUCAGAAUUUCUAAAUUGGUUUAAAAAUAUAAUGUUUAAUUCUUGAGCAAGAGCCGAGACUCUAUAACG